rnacentral:rRNA from 1 species
AGAGUUUGAUCAUGGCUCAGAUUGAACGCUGGCGGCAGCCCUUAUACAUGCAAGUCGAACGAGAAAGUUCCUUCGGGAGCGAGUAAAGUGGCGGACGGGUGAGUAACGCGUAGGAAUCUACCUUUCAGUGGGGGAUAGCUCGGGGAAACUCGAAUUAAUACCGCAUACACCCUUCGGGGGAAAGGGGGCCUCUCCUUGGAAGCUCUCGCUGUUAGAUGAGCCUGCGUGAGAUUAGCUUGUUGGUAAGGUAAUGGCUUACCAAGGCUACGAUCUCUAGCUGGUCUGAGAGGACGAUCAGCCACACUGGGACUGAGACACGGCCCAGACUCCUACGGGAGGCAGCAGUAGGGAAUAUUGGACAAUGGGGGCAACCCUGAUCCAGGCAUGCCGCGUGUGUGAAGAAGGCCUUAGGGUUGUAAAGCACUUUAAGUGAGGAAGAAAAGAUUUAAAUUAAUACUUUAAGUCCCUGACAUUACUCACAGAAUAAGGACCGGCUAACUCCGUGCCAGCAGCCGCGGUAAUACGGAGGGUCCAAGCGUUAAUCGGAAUUACUGGGCGUAAAGCGCGCGUAGAUGGUUUAUUCAGUUGGGUGUGAAAUCCCUGGGCUCAACCUAGGAACUGCAUUCAAAACUUAUAAACUAGAGUACGAAAGAGGAGAGUAGAAUUCAUGGUGUAGCGGUGAAAUGCGUAGAGAUCAUGAGGAAUACCAGUGGCGAAGGCGACUCUCUGGUUCGAGACUGACAUUGAGGUGCGAAAGCGUGGGUAGCAAACAGGAUUAGAUACCCUGGUAGUCCACGCCGUAAACGAUGAGAACUAGCCGUUGGAUCUUUA